GUCUACAGCCAUACCACCCUGACUGCGUCUGAUUUCGUCUGAUCUUAGAAGCUAAGCAGGGCCUGGCCUGGUUAGGACUUGGAUGGGAGAAUAACUGCUCACAGCACUUAGGCCACAUUCAGCAACUAGAGAAC
rnacentral:rRNA from 1 species